AGGAAGUUUGAUCCUGGCUCAGAGUGAACGCUGGCGGCAUGCCUAACACAUGCAAGUCGAACGGUAACAGGCCCGCAAGGGUGCUGACGAGUGGCGGACGGGUGAGGAAUACAUCGGAAUUUGCCCAGUCGUGGGGGAUAACGUAGGGAAACUUACGCUAAUACCGCAUACGACCGAGAGGUGAAAGCGGGGGAUCUGUAAGGACCUCGCGCGAGUGGAUGAGCCGAUGUCGGAUUAGCUAGUUGGCGGGGUAAAGGCCCACCAAGGCGACGAUCCGUAGCUGGUCUGAGAGGAUGAUCAGCCACACUGGGACUGAGACACGGCCCAGACUCCUACGGGAGGCAGCAGUGGGGAAUAUUGGACAAUGGGGGCAACCCUGAUCCAGCAAUGCCGCGUGUGUGAAGAAGGCCUUCGGGUUGUAAAGCACUUUUAUCCGGAACGAAACGCGCAGGGUGAAUAUCCUUGCGAACUGACGGUACCGGAGGAAUAAGCACCGGCUAACUUCGUGCCAGCAGCCGCGGUAAUACGAAGGGUGCAAGCGUUACUCGGA
rnacentral:rRNA from 1 species